UCUAUUAUUAGUCUGUUGUUAGUCUGUUAUUAGUCUGUUAUUAGUCUGUUGUUAGUCUGUUAUUAGUCUGUUAUUAGUCUGCCAUCAGUCUGUGUAUGAGCUAAAUGGAGUAGAAUGUGUGUGUGUACUCUAUUUGUAGCCUUUUUAUCAAUCUCCGUGGAGCCAAACAUUCUUUCUUUUGGAUAAACUCCCCCUGUUCCCUCUCCUCUCCCUGUCCUCGUUCAUACCCUCACUCUCUAUCCCCUUACUCACUCCCUCACUCCCUCCCUCCAUCUGCCUCACUCUCUCUUUCUCCUUCUGUCAGUCAUUGAGUCAUGAUGGCGGAGCGGACAGUGCCUCAUGCAUAUCCCAUGAGUACUCAGUGUGAACUGAACUCUCCCAGAAGGAUCUACGACCAGAACUUUGGAGAGGUUUCAGAGAGCCAACCAAUCCAGGGGGGCCUUCACCUCUCCACCCUAUCCCAGACCAGAUCAGACCAGUCCAGAUCAGAACCAGACCCAGACCAGAACGAAACCAGUUCAAACCAGACCAGACCAGUCCCGAUCAAGUUGUUUAAGGCGUAGCGGACUGAGAGAUGAGGGGUAGGGCUCUCUGACCCCUGACACUAACAAGGUGGUGUAACCUCCAACCCCUGUGGCUCCUCCGAUGUUCUCCAGAAAGGACAGCCUUCCCUCCCCCAGCUUGGAAGACUCCUUCUUCCCCCUCUCCUCCACCUCCUCCCAUUCUGUCUCUCUCGCUUAUCCCUCCUCCAGUUCCUCCUCCUGCUGNNNNNNNNNNGUGGUGUAGUGGUAGUGUUGUAGUAUUGUAGUGUAGUGGUAGUGUUGUAGUAUAGUGGCAGUGUAGUAGUGUAGUGGUAGUGUUGUAGUAUAGUGUCAGUAUAAUAGCAUAGUGGCAGUAUUUUAGUAUAGUGUCAGUAUAGUAGUAUAGUGUUAGUGUUGUAGUAUAGUGUCAGCAUAGUAGUAUAGUGUCAGCAUAGUAGUAUAGUGUUGGUAUAAUAGUAUAGUGGUAGUGUUGUAGUAUAGUGGUAGUGUUGUAGUAUAGUCUCCGCAUAGUAGCAUAGUGGUAGUGUUGUAGUUUAUUGGCAGUGUUGUAGUAUAGUGGUGGUAUUGUGACAUCGUGGCAGUGUUGUAGUAUAGUGGUAGCAUUGUGGUAUAGUGGUAGUAUCACGGUAGUAUGGCGGUAGUAUUUUAGGACAGUGGUAGUAUUGUGGUAGAAUAGUGUUAGUAUUGUGGUUUAUUAGCGGUAGUGUUGUAGUAUAGUGGUGGCAAUGUAGUAGAAUAGUGGCAGUACCGUAGUAUAGUGGUAGCAAGGAGUAGUAUUGUGAUCAUAUUGUAGUAUACUGUUAGUAUUGUAGCAGUAUAGUGUAGAUAUUGUAGUAUAGUGGUAGUUUCGUGGUAGUAUAGCAGCAGUAUUGUGGUAAUAUUGUAGUAUAGUGGUAGUAUAGGGGUAGUAUUGUAUUAAGUAAACGUAAUAACGUCUUACAAUUCAUAUCAUCACCAUUCAUCCAAUCAGCUUUCACAUCAUCACCAU
rnacentral:lncRNA from 13 species